CCUGGCUACUGACUGGGUAAAUGCUUAUUUGCUUAUAUCAUUUUAAUUGGGCCCUGAUUUAAGGACCUGUUACAGAUUUAUUUUUCCUUUACUUAGAAUUUUUACACAUAAGACUUUGAUAGUCUAUAUUUCACACAGAAAUUAUUUUUUUAAUUUGGAUUUCUCUGAUGUCUUUUUAAUUUAUCUUGCCAAUUGAUUCAUAUACCUCAUAACUCAGCCAUGCAUCCCUAAGUGAUCCCUGUGUUUUUCAAUCACUUUCUUCAAGGGGGGAGGGGGAAGAAUGUAAAAAUAUUAUUAUUUUAAAUUGCAAAGUUUAAAUUCCUUUUGAGAAGAAUUUUAGGUUAAGAAACAUGAUACCUCUCCAAAUCCAGAAACUGAACUGUUUGGAGAAGACACCAUGAGGAUGCCUCCAGACCACAAACUGCAUGAAAAGAUCAAGGAUGAACUUUGGGGACCUGUACCAGGCUGAUCUCAUUUUAGACCCUGAAGUUUCUCUCCUUGUAUCAAGCCUCCCAGGUAAUCUAGCCCUAAACUCCUCCUCUCUUUGUAUCCACUGUAAAGCUAUUCAACUUAAUAUUCCUGUCCUUUAUUUCUGAAUUCAAACCUUUGUCUCCAACUCUUGACAUUAAAAUGUUAAUUUGAAGGAAGGCUUGAAUGGGUAAAAAUAAGUCUAUAGUAUUUUCCUAUUAAGUUAAGGGUGUCUCUGUAAACCUUGGAACAUUUUAUUAGAAACAGUGUAUCAGGGUCAUUCUGUCUCUAGUUAAUGACUUGAAGCAUGACCACACAUCUCUCUCUCUCUCUCUCUCUCUCUCUCUCUCUCUCUAUAUAUAUAUAUAUAUAUCUGGGGAACAUUGUCUCAGGUCUAUGAUGUGAGAUAUUGCUCCACAUCUCUCUCAAUA
rnacentral:lncRNA from 1 species